AGAACAAACCCACAGACAACAAACCCACAUCAACAAACCCACAACAACAAAUCUACAACAACAAACCCACAGAGAGCAAGCCCACAGGGAACCAGCCAAAUUAUGUCUGCUGUGCAUCUCGGCAGACGAUGCUGCCACCGUCUGUGUAUGAGCAUGUGUGUGUCAGACUUUCCCAUCGUCUCCAAACUUGUUUUCAGAAUAAUGCUUCCAGUGAAAUGAGUCGGCCACAUGAGGUCACAAAGCCCCUACUCUGUUCAGCACCUGGGCUCCUGGUUUGUUAAGGCAAACCCCCAUCUCUGGCUUCUCCUGGAACCUCACCUGGGAAAGAAAGAGGCAGCCCCGGAGCUGGAAGCUGCUUCAGGGCUCACCCGGAACAGCAGACUCAACCUGGACCCAUCCAGGCAUCUCCUGGGAGUUUCACCCAAUUGCUUCUGCCUGGCACCAGCUCAGAGGUUCUGACAGAAUUGGCCUGGGGUGAGACCUGGCAUCCAUGGGAUUUUUACAAGCUUCCAGGUGAUUCUACAGGGAAGCCAAGCCUUCCAGGCCCCGGUGGGAUGAGACUUCCCUGCCCCCACGGUUGAGAGGAGCCAUGGGCUUAUUCUAGCCAAUGAAUGGUGGAUGGACGUGACUCGUGUCUCUUCCAGGCUGGAGCAUUUAAUUGUCCAGGAUGUUGCUGGCCAGCCGGAAGACGAAAAUCACCGCGUAGAUGCCGAUGAUGCAGGAGCCCCAGGAGGGUGCUGGCCUGGGUCUGGUUGGAGGCUUCAUGGGGAGUCCACUUGGCCCCUGAGAAACAGAGAGGUCCGGAUGAGAUCCAGCGUCCUGGGCUGAGGGCUGCCUGGCCACACCAAGGAGAAUGGAGCCCUCAUAUCCGUGAAAACGUGUCGCUGCUCAAAGAGGCCUUCUCUGAGGCAUGAGCAGGAGUGUAACAACAGCUUAGAAGAAAGGUGUCUAAAUUGGGAGCAAAGGUGGCAAUGACGUGGACUUGACACCAAAAAAAAAUUUUUUUAAAGAAAA
rnacentral:lncRNA from 1 species